rnacentral:rRNA from 1 species
GGACUACCGGGGUUUCUAAUCCCGUUUGCUCCCCCAGCUUUCGUGCAUCAGCGUCAGUACAAGACCAGGUGACCGCCUUCGCCACUGGUGUUCCUCCGAAUAUCUACGCAUUUCACCGCUACACUCGGAAUUCCAUCACCCUCUUCUCGACUCGAGAUUCGCAGUAUCAAGGCCGUGCCCCGAGUUGAGCCCGGAUAUUUCAACCUCGACUUACGAAUCCGCCUACGCACGCUUUACGCCCAAUAAUUCCGAACAACGCUUGCCCCCUACGUCUUACCGCGGCUGCUGGCAC